UUGUGCAAACUCCACGCAGACAGUUGCCCGAGGCGGGAAUUGAAUCUGGGUCCCUGACGCUGUAAGGCAGUAGUGCCGGGUAUGUUACGUCUUCAAAACACACACUAAAUUUUAGGCUUGCAUUUACACAUUCAUUUUAGCAAUUUAUAUGCAAGCAAUGUAAUUUACUUCAGUGAAAUAUGUAUGGGGCUCUCCCGCCCCUCCAACAUAACUCUAGUGGAAGAGCUACAAAUAGCCUGAAAAAAAGCACAAUUGCUGGUUCCAAGACAUCUCAGAGCAAAACUGGAAAUCCCUACAUUAUGGCCUGCUAUUGAUACAUUUUCAUUUGGAAAUGUUGGAACUGGAUUAGCAACUGAGAUGGAACAGCUCACCAGUUCUCAGACACACUAUGACAGGACCUGGUGGAAAUGCUCCAGAGGAGGCUGGCCUUGAGGGCAUCUAGAACGUUCCUUGGAAGACGCUGAAUUCCAGACAAUAUUCUCCGGGAAGGCAUGUUAAUAGCAUGAAUACAUCCUGCUCUGAAACGUGUUCCACAGUCAACGGUUUUGUGCUGCGACUUUACAAUUGUCUCUCAGCUUGUUGAGGAUUACAAAUCUAAAUUUUCAAAUUGCUCUGGAUGAACUGAAUAGUGCUGGCUGUUUAUAAUCUGGAAUUCCAGAUCCUCAAUACUGUAAAUGCAAUGGGCUUGGCAGAACGACCGUGUCAUUAUAUAGUCUCAUUUUUAAAGGCUUCAUUUUUGAUCACUAUUUUGAGCUACCUGGCAUAGGUCUGUGAAGGUCAUGCAUGAUAUAUUGUUAUCUAUCUAACAUUUUAUGUUGACCUGAUGUUCACCUCUGCAGUCCUUAUUCCAAUAGUCACAAACAAGACAUCAUAAAUCAAUCUGACGGAAUCAACCCCUGGUAUGGUGCAGAGUUAUUUGUCAGAAUCUUCAACCACUGUCUCUCCAGUAGUCAUUUAGAGUCACAGAGACAUACAUCAUGGAAACAGUCUAACUCUAACUUGCCGACCAAGUUUCCCAAACUAAACUAGUCCCACUUGCCUGUGCUUGGCCCAUAUCUCUCCAAAACUUUCCUAUUCAUGUACUUAUCCAAAUGUCUUAUAAAUGUUGUAACUGUACCUGUAUCUACCAAUCCCUCUAUCAGUUCAUUCCACAAAUGAACCACCCUCUAAGCGAUAAAGUUGUCCCUCAGGUCCUUCUAUAUUUUUUUCCUCUCACCUUAAAAAUAUGCCCCCUAGUUUUGAACCUCUCCACCCUUGGGAAAAGACUUUUGCUAUUCAGUUUAUUUAUGCCCCUGAUGAUUUUAUAAACCUCUAUAAGGUUACCCCUCAACUUUUUGUGCUCCAGUGAGAAAGGUCCCAGCCUACCCAGCCUGUCCUUAUAACUCAAGCCCUCCAUUCCCAGCAAUGUUCUGGUGGAUUUCUUCUGAACCCUCUCCAAUUUAAUAUUAUCCUUCUUACAGCAGGAUGAUCAGAACUGUACAGAGCACUCCUAAAGUGCCCUCACCAAAGUCCUGUACAAUCUCAGCAUGAUGUCCCAACUGCUAUACUCAGUGGUCUGAGCAAUAAAGUCAUAUAUGCUAAAUGCCUUCUUAACCACACUGACUACCUGUGACACUACAAACAAUGUACCUGAACUCCUAGAUCUCUUUGUUUGACAACACUACCCAGAGUCUUACUAUUAACUGUAUAAGUCCUGCCCUUGUUAGUUUUAUCAAAAUGCAAUACCUUGUAUUUAUCCAAAUUAAACUCCAUCUGCCACUC